rnacentral:lncRNA from 1 species
GCCAUGAGUCACAGCAGCUGGCUCAAGGCUGGGAGGGGAAGUAAAACACUAAAUCUAAGGACCACUCUAUUCACCCUACAGUGACUGCUCUUUUUCCCUCCUGCCACAGUCCAGGGUAGGAGAUACUUCUCCAGGCUCUCACUUAUGGGGGCUUUCCUGCUGGCUACAUCACUGAAAUGGAAUCUCCUAGUGGCCCUUCUCCCUCUACAGCUCUGGUGUUACACUGAAAAACUAGAAGUUUCAAAACAGACAAGGGAAAAAGAGAAACAUCAGAAAGUCUGAUUAAAGUAGAAGCAUCAUAUUUCUAUCAACGUAUCCACUGUGCUUGGACACAAUUGCAGGCCCUUGACAUCUUUUGCCUGGAUUAUUGCAACAGCCUCCAAAAGGACUCGUCUGUCUCCAUGAUACCCCUCCAUCCUCCUCUGCAUCAUCACCAAGGGAAUCUUUGUAAAGCAAAGGCAUGAUCAUGCUUAUCACCUGGUGGAAACCCUUCAGAGACUCUCCACUCCCCAGAGCAGGCACCACAUCGUUAGAGUCUACAGAAGGCAGGAGGAAACAGAAAUGAGUGCCGGGUCCAUAGGACUCUGUAAUAUUCACCGGCAGGAAAACCCAAGGGAAUGACUACUAUGACAUCUGAUGCCUAGAUUCAAGCCAUGCAAAGAAGGCCUCUGAGCUCAGCUCUCAACUGAUGCUUUUUGAAUUGAGCAGAGUGACCUUGCUGAAAACUGCUCACUGAUGUCACUUAGAGGAAGGCAGGGGCACAAGAUGGGAGGACCCAGAGCUCCGGGUUCUUAAUGAAUUUUUGCCACCUUCAAUGAGAAAGACUGAAACAAAAAACUCAGAAGAAAGAAAGAGACUGAGAUAGCAAAUAUGACAAACUGUUAAAAAUUCAUGAAUCUGUUAUGGAAUACUAUGCAGCCAUAAAAAAGGAUGAGUUCCUGUCCUUUGCAAGGACGUGUAUGAAGCUGGAAACCAUCAUUCUGAGCAAACUAAAACAGGAACAGAAAACCAAACACCACAUGUUCUCACUCAUAAGUGGGAGUUGAACAAUGAGAACACAUGGACACGGCGGGGUGGUGGGAACAUCACACACCGGGGCCUGUCAGAGGGGAGGGGGCUAGGGGAGAGAUAGCAUUAGGAGAAAUACCUAAUGUAGAUGAUGGGUUGAUGGGUGCAGCAAACCACCAUGGCAUGUGUAUACCUAUGUAACAAACCUGCAUGUUCUGCACAUGUAUCCCAGAACUUAAAGUAUAAUAAUAAAAAGAGAGAUUAAAAAAAUUGGUGAAUCUGGGCAAAAUGUACACAGGAUUUUUCUGUACUGUUCUUGCAACUUUUCUACAGAUUUGAAAUGUUACAAAAUAAAAGGUAUUUUUAGAAAAAGAG